GGGGAUUUGGCUCAGUGGUAUAAAGCACCUGCCUGACAAGCAUGAGGUCAUGAGUUUGAUCCCCA
rnacentral:tRNA from 1 species